rnacentral:rRNA from 1 species
GUCCGCCUACGGGAGGCAGCAGUGAGGAAUAUUGGUCAAUGGGCGGGAGCCUGAACCAGCCACGUCGCGUGAGGGACGACGGUCCUAUGGAUUGUAAACCUCUUUUGUCGGGGAACAAAGGCGCCCACGGGUGGGCGGAUGAGUGUACCCGAAGAAAAAGCAUCGGCUAACUCCGUGCCAGCAGCCGCGGUAAUACGGAGGAUGCGAGCGUUAUCCGGAUUUAUUGGGUUUAAAGGGUGCGUAGGCGUACGGUAAAGUCAGCGGUAAAAAUGCGGUGCUCAACGCCGGACAUCCGUUGAAACUGG